GCUGGCCAUCGCUUCCUGAGCCCUAGCUUCGGGUCUACAACCUUCUUCUUGAUCCAAGGUGCCGCCUCAGCACAACUUGAUCUUGGCCAAGAGCAAGAAUCGGAGCCCUAGUUUCGGUUCCUCGUUGCAGUAGUUGUGGAUCGCACGACACCAGCUGUAGGGAUUGAUUGAGGAGGAUGCUUCGGAUAAACCUAGUGAUGGAUCUUCCUUGAGAAGAACUUCUUCUUCUCCAAUUCUUGUGGCUGGGGUCUUUGGUAGCUCUCGGGUGAAGAGCAGCUUGAUUUGGGAUCAAUUGAGCUGUUGGCAGGGUUAUGGUGGGAGCUGUGAGUGUGGAUCAGCUACAACCUUCCAAGG